GAUGAAGAACGCAGCGAAAUGCGAUAAGUAAUGUGAAUUGCAGAAUUCAGUGAAUCAUCGAAUCUUUAAACGCACCUUGCGCCCUUUGGCAUUCCGAAGGGCAUGCCUGUUUGAGUAUCAUGAACACCUCAACUCUUCAUGGUUUUCCAUGAUGAGCUUGGACUUUGGGGGUCUUGCUGGCCUGCGGUCGGCUCCUCUCAAAUGAAUCAGCUUACCAGUGUUUGGUGGGCAUCACAGGUGUGAUAACUAUCUGCGCUUGUGGUUUUCCACCAAGUAACCUUCAGCAGUGGAGGUUCACUGGAGCUCACAGACGUCUCUCCUCAGUGAGGACAGCCCUUUGAAUGUUUGAUCUCAAAUCAGGUAGGACUACCCGCUGAACUUAAGCAUAUCAAUAAGCGGAGGA
rnacentral:misc_RNA from 1 species